AUUGAACGCUGGCGGCAGGCCUAACACAUGCAAGUCGAGCGAGCGGCGGACGGGUGAGUAAUGUAUGGGGACUGCCCGAUAGAGGGGGAUAACUACUGGAAACGGUGGCUAAUACCGCAUACUAUCGGAUAACCCAUAUGGGAUUAGCUAGUAGGUGGGGUAAAGGCUCACCUAGGCGACGAUCUCUAGCUGGUCUGAGAGGAUGAUCAGCCACACUGGGACUGAGACACGGCCCAGACUCCUACGGAGGCAGCAGUGGGGAAUAUUGGGCAAUGGGCGAAAGCCUGACCGAGCAACGCCGCGUGAAUGAAGAAGGCCUUAGGGUUGUAAAGUUCUUUCAGUGGGGAGGCGUUACCCAAAGAAAAAGCACCGGCUAACUCCGUGCCAGCAGCCGCGGUAAUAC
rnacentral:rRNA from 1 species